rnacentral:rRNA from 1 species
AGUGAACGCUGGCGGCGUGCCUAAUACAUGCAAGUCGAACGGAGUGGCGCACGGGUGAGUAAUAUAUAUCUAAUCUGCCCCUUGCUGGAGGACAACAGUUAGAAAUGACUGCUAAUACUCCAUAGCAAGGGAUGAGACUAUAUCGUAUCAGCUAGUCGGUGGGGUAACGGCCUACCGAGGCUAUGACGCGUAACUUGUAUGAGAGGAUGAUCAGUCAAAUUGGAACUGAGACACGGUCCAAACUCCUACGGGAGGCAGCAGUAGGGAAUAUUGCGCAAGGGGGGAAACCCGGAGGCAGCAACGCCGCGUGGAGGAUGACACUUGGCGGAGAGUAAGCUGCUUGUGUUAGGGAAGCGGUAACUAACGAAUAAGCACCGGCUAACUCCGUGCCAGCAGCCGCGGUAAUUC